rnacentral:rRNA from 1 species
UGGCCCCUACGGGAGGCAGCAGUAGGGAAUCUUCCACAAUGGACGAAAGUCUGAUGGAGCAACGCCGCGUGAGUGAAGAAGGGUUUCGGCUCGUAAAGCUCUGUUGGUAGUGAAGAAAGAUAGAGGUAGUAACUGGCCUUUAUUUGACGGUAAUUACUUAGAAAGUCACGGCUAACUACGUGCCAGCAGCCGCGGUAAUACGUAGGGAGCGAGCGUUGUCCGGAUUUACUGGGGGUAAAGGGUGCGUAGGCGGGUAAGCAA